rnacentral:rRNA from 1 species
GAUGAACGCUGGCGGCGUGCCUAAUACAUGCAAGUCGAGCGAACGGACGAGAAGCUUGCUUCUCUGAUGUUAGCGGCGGACGGGGGAGUAACACGUGGAUAACCUACCUAUAAGACUGGGAUAACUUCGGGAAACCGGAGCUAAUACCGGAUGAUAUUUUGAACCGCAUGGUUCAAAAGUGAAAGACGGUCUUUCUGUCACUUAUAGAUGGAUCCGCGCUGCAUUAGCUAGUUGGUAAGGUAACGGGUUACCAAGGCUACGAUGCAUAGCCGACCUGAGAGGGUGAUCGGCCACACUGGAACUGAGACGAGGUCCAGACGCCUAAGAGAGGCAGCAGUAGGGGAUCUGCCGCAAUGGGCGAAAGCCUGACAGAGCAACGCCGCGUGAGUGAUGAAGGUCUUCAGAUCGUAAAACUCUGUUAUUAGGGAAGAACAUAUGUGUAAGUAACUGUGCACAGCUUGACGGUAACUAAUCAGAAAGCCACGGCUAACUACGUG